CAGCCACAUCACAUUGAAACACUAGCUCCCAUAUGGUCACUGAAGUUAAGCAACAUCAAGCCUGGUCAGUACCUAGAUGGGUGACCACUUGGGAAGUCCU